AACAAUAUCUAAUCGGUAAGUGUAACAAUAUAUUGUUUAAUUUUAUUUCUUUAUAAUAAAUAAAGCCAUUAAAAUAGAAAUAAAAGUUAAAAUACGAUUCGGUAAUAAUAUAUUAUGUUGAUUUUAAGUUUAAAUUCACGAUUCAUUGUUCGCGUAAUGUAUGUAUUAUUACAAUAUUACUAGCUGCACUGCUACCUAUGGCCUUGCUUUUGGUAUAAGAAUAGUAACCGACCUCUACAACUCGUCUCUCCACACUUCCCACUCCUCACCAUGAGGUUUAUCCCUCGUAUAUCCUUUCUUAAGACUCUCCUCACCGCCUAUAAUAUCUAAGUAGGUUAGAUUUACCCAACAAUAAUUUAGAAUGUCACGGAAGGGACAGUCGUGCGGUUCUUCUGUGAAAACAAAACAAUUUCUUAUCACAUAUUUAUUAUUAUGGUAUCAUACAUUAAUAAAGGAUACUAUGAAUAGUAGAAUUAUAUAAGAGAGAGAGAGAAAAAAGAAUUUAUUUUAAAACAAUACAGAUCAAUGAGUUUUUUUUGUUUUCCAUUCGUACUUAUAAAAAACGAAAUAUAUAAUAAUAUAUUAUUCGAGAUAGGAUAUACAGUUGUAAAUAUUCAAAUUUCCAAUUAGAGGUUCAUAUUUGAAAAAAAAAAGUAAAAUACUUAUUUAAGUUAUAUGGAGUAGGAGUAAAAAUUAAAAAUUAGUUUAAAAUAAAGCUUGGACGAUUCCACAAUAAUUUAAAAAAAAAAAAAAAAAAAACAGAAAUCAAAUUCACUUAAAAUCCCCCGAGAAAAUUGGUGGUUCACGAUUAAAAAAAAUACUCUGUAUACUACAUAAUAUUGUAAAAUGUGCCCAAUAAGCUUUUAUAAAAAGAAUAAUAAUUUAAAAACUAAUUAUAUAAUAUUACGAAUCAUAGGUAGAUACAUAAUUAUAUUAUAUUUAUCGAAAAAUUAUAAUAAUUACAAUUUAAAUUUCAUUUUAUAAUAUUUUAAAAUUCGACCAAUUACGUGCAUUUACAAAAUAUGCGUGUGAUAUCAGAUUACCUAAUUUUCUAUUAUUGAAAUAAUGUUAUGCUAUAAAAUACAUUGUUAUAAUUGUAUAACCAUUAUAGUGUCCUCGUGGAAAUGUAAACAAAUAUUUUGUGAUAUUAUUAUGAUGUUGUUUUAUUAUAUUAUCGUAUCUCGAGGAGACUUAAACGUUCGUAAACGAAAUGAUAAAAUACUAUAGUUGACUCGUGGAAAAAAUUCACAUUCAAACAUCAAGUUACAACUUUGACGUUUGAACAAAUAAUAGAUUGUUCAGUUCUAAAUUAAUGAUUCGUCGCAAGAGGAGAACUUAAUCUUUAAACUGAUACUUUGUGAAUUGAUUUCGGUUAAGUACGAAGGGAGAAAAAAGGGUCGUCACGAAAACUCACCUUUUAGAAAUAUUAUACAAUAUACAAGACACCUAUCCGGGUAACGGAGAAACGGGUCUUUUGGGUGAGUUUUGAUAAUUUUACUUGCACGUAUUUAUUUUGAAAAACGUGAAUAAAACACGAUAAUCGCGACAUUUACCGACAAACUGAAUAAUCUCGUGUGUAUGUUAUGAGUUAUGGCAUUAUGCUUUCGUAUUAGUCUGCAGAUUAUUUCCGGUUUCUGUGACCAACCAGACUUGAUUUUUCCGCCCCCUCCCUCUAUCCGGUUUUAUCUAGAACCGUCGUGGAUUUUCAUCGAGACUAUACAAUAUGAUGUUCUUCAGAACCGCGGUAUCAGGUUGUUUAUAUCCAACAGGUACGUCCGGUUAUGCUACCGCGUUAUUUCUCGAGAAAUACAACAGCAGUGCGUACCCGAACCGUCGUAGGCAGUACACAUAUAUAUUUGUUUUUACACCGAACGUGUUGAAUUUCCGGUCGAUCGGCACGAACGCGUCACCGCAAUCGGGAAGUGGGAGGAAGUGGGGAAUAAUCGGAUUUUUCACCGCAUUAGAGAUACCCGCCGCUAGCGUUGUAUUGUGUGCACACGGAAAACGGUUUAAAUCCGCAAUCCCCGCGCGCGGUACAGAUACGUAUUUUAACCGUGCGCAGCUAUCUAUUAGCUAUUAUUAUUACUAUUAUUAUUAUUAUUAUUAUUAUUAUUAUUAUUACUACCGUAGGGUCGCUAUUAUACAGCCUUGACAAAACUAUAAAUGCGCGGCGCGUAAGCCGAACGGGACGGGGCGAAUCGAUUCCCCGACGACCGGACGAAACUCGGCCUGUACGCGUGUGUCCGAGAUGUUCAAAUUAUUAUUACCUAUUAUUAUUAAUAUAUAUAUAUAUAUAUGUGUGUGUGUGUGUAUAUAUAUGUACACUAUCUCCCACGUAUACUAUAAUAUAAUAACGGGCGCGCGCGCGCGUGUGCGUGCACACGAGAACGCGGCGGUUAUAAUACGCGGCACGGUGCAGAGGCGGUGCAGGCCGGUGCAGACGCGUACGGGAAGUGGCAGGGCGGCGCUCGUGGCCAUCCCCGCGCGCGCAUAUUGGGUUGGUCUAGCUCCGCCCACGCGCACACGCGUACGCGCCGCGAAACGCGCGAGCGGUGCGGAUAUGGUCUAGUCUCUAGUCGCAGUGUCGGCCGUAACUACGUGAUCUAUAAUAUCGCAUUUAUAGAAUAAUAAACACCGAACGUACGCCGGGGAAAGUCUGUGCGUUCGUCCGCGUUACCCUCUCACUCGCUCUCUCUCGCUCUAUCACUCUCUCUCUCUCUCUCUCACUCUGUCUAUCUCUCUCUGUCUCUCUCUCUAUCUCCGUCUCUCAGUCUCCGUCUAUGCCCUCCUCUCGCCGCCCGCGCCGAAUUCCGCGGUCCGGAAUAGAGCACCGCCGUCGUUCGGCUAGGUAAAACAGCGCAUAUUACCAUCUAAUGGGUAUACCGCGGCGUACGGUACUCGUGUUACACACGAGUAUUACAGUCGUGUUGCCCCUGCGUGCGCGUAGCCCAAUGACGAUAAUAAAACGUGUGUACGUUGUUUGAACACAGGUAGUUUAUAAUUGGAAACGACAGUCUGUUGUACGGACAAUAACAUGCAUUCGGCUACGAGCACUAAGCGGACGGUGUUUCGUUAACUGAAGGGCGUAUUUAUUUUAUUUUUUUUUUUUAUUUCUAUCCGCUGUCCGGGAUAGAUCGCCGAACCUGCAGUAGUAUAUUGAAUGCGUGUACAGAUGUAUCUGCAGAGAAGGUAUACACGUUCGAAUUUACCCGGAAGAAGCUAUAAUACACCCGAGAGAAAAAAACCCGAAAAAACAGUAAUUUUAUAAGCUGUUAUAAAACUUUCAGGAAUUUUCCUUUCUUGAACAGUUUUAAAAUCUGUAGAAAAAAUUUAUCAACGAAAUUGUUUUCACGUCGUUUUUGUAUGUAAUUCAUUUUGAAUUCGGGUGGACCAAGUUCAGUCACCCCCUGUUUAUUCUAUAGAUUCCAGACGUACGCCGAGGAAAUAAUAUCAAAUUAGUUUUCGAAACUAUUAUUUAACGAAUCGCCUUAUCGAGGUUUGGCGAAUUAAUUGACGAAACAUGAUAAAAAUUACGUAAUUUUUAAGUCAUUUCGGCGAGGGGGUGAAAACGGAAAGCGGAGAAAAAUGGUUAAAAUUAAUUUGUUAUUUUUAUCGAAGAAAAACGGCUGUUCCACACAAAUGUAUAGUAGAUAAAACAUUGACUGCAGCGUGACAGUUAGAAACGUUAUAUUUAUAACGGCUGGUGAAUUCGUGAAAUCGUAACGCCGUUUACUUUAUCGAGUCAAAGUCGUGAAUAUAAUACGUUCGCUAUUACAGAUACCGACCAACUUACCGGGGUAAACACGGUCAAUUACGAAAUAUGAAUUGUCCAGUCAACUUAUUCCGUUUGCGAUUAAUUUUCAAGCCCAACUCUGACGUCCAAAAAUAUGAUAUUUUACAAAUCUUUCCAAAAUCCUUUACGCAUCUCGUAAUUUAUUCACGAUGUAUAAUAAAAGUUGUACGUGUCGUUUCUAUUUUGGAAUACUUUUUUUAAAAUUACCCUUCUUCGACUUUCCCCCAACAGCCAUUCUUUCUUUGUCCGAUUACCGAAACGAUAUUCGGUGACAUUACAAGUUCGUCGUCCGGAAUAUCAUUGCGAUUCAAUAAUAUCGUAAUUAGAGAAUGGACUUUAAUACCCUAAAAAAUUAGAAUAAUGUCCUAAAAAAUACGAUUUAAUUUCGUAGAAAAAAAUGUCACAAUAUUAAAAAAUUUCCUAAAAAACUUUCAAAAUGUUUUUAAAUUCAAUAAAAAAACAAUUUUGAGCAGUUUGUGUAUGUAUAAUAUUGUUAUAAUUUAUAACUCAUACAAAACAUACCAUGAUAAAAAAUAUAUCUUAUAAAAGUACGAUAAAUACUGACGUACGACUGACGACUUUACGAGUACCUAAUAUUGAGACACCAAUCAGUUUUGUAUUAGUUAUUUUCCGUUAUCACGUAUUGUAAUGUUAUCGAGGUUAUUUACGAUUAGAUUAUCUUUUUAUCGGGGAUAUUAUUGAUAUUUUUGAAACCUUGAGAAUUAAGUAUAUAGGUACAAUCAGCCGGUCUUCAUACAAAUUACCAAUUUUAAAAUUUUUUAUAAUUCCGAGCAAAAAAUAUAUGUAAAAAAUGUACCAUUCAAAAACGGGAAAAUGCUCUAAAAAUGUAAAAAAAAAAAAAAAAAAUGCGAAAUAAAAGUUUCAUUUUUAAAUUCUCUGACGUAUGAAUCCGAGUUACGUGCUUGGAAAACGUGUGCCAACCCAUGGCACCCGCAGUAAAAAAAUUAAUUUCGCAUUAAAGCCCGUUGCCUAAUCAUAAUACACACACACACGAACACACACAGUUCUGAAUAGUUUUCACAAAGUGGGGGGGGAGAGGGAAAUGAAAUAGAAUGUAUUUCGUAAAUUAUACAGCGAAACGCGCUGUCACGCAAAAACGUCCGACCGCAGUAAUAGUAUCGUCGCGCGCGUACCGUCAUGGCGAAGAACAAUCGUUCGAACAAUACGCGUACGCGUUCCCCCCCAUCCCGCCCGUACAACACGCGCACCGCGGGCCGCCCGCGACGGACGGCUCUUCCGUCCCGGCGCGCCUCGCCCGUCCCACGGUCCAGCCGUUUAUACACGGACGCGCGUAUAACAUCAUCAUGUACGCGCGUGCACGCCGUAUGUAUGCAUUAUGUAUUUAUCGUCGGCUGCGGGAGGAUGUUUAUAUUCGUGUAAUAAAUUGACCGCCGAAUCCAUUUUGGCGGAAAUUUAAAUAUUUAUCGCCGGCCGUUCCGCCGGACGACGAAUAGAUAAAAAUUUAUCUGUCGUGACGGCCGCGGGCGGUUAUCGUAAUCCCUUUUGAAAAUAUAAUGCCGACAAACGGAUAUAAUGGUUUACGGUAUAUGCGCGCGCAAAUAUAAUAACACGUAAUAUAUGUAAAUAAAUAGGAAUUCCGACGGAUAAAUCAACGAGAAAAACACGGCCGGUAUCUGUACCCCUCCUCUCUAUUUUUAGGGGAUGGACAUUUCGUUGUAAUAUAUGUACGCGUGUAUAACAAAAUGGAGAGAGAGAGAGAGAGAGAGAGAGGUAGUCGGCGCCACCGGUUACGCUAGAAAAUAAUAUUAUUUAUGUGCAUAUAUGGCGCUCGGCAACGGAUAUAAAAUACAUUUAUUACGCGUCCGUCCGGCAAUCCCGAUACAAAUGCUACACACACACACACACACACAUUACGCAACGUCAUAUAUUUUGCGUGCGUCGCGCGUAAAUAUUUUAUUGCGAUAUUGUAUUUACGCGUAAAUAAUCCGCUGUAUAAGUUGAAAUACAAUAAUAACAUUAUUACCACUGCGCGCGGUCGUUUUAUUCGGCGUAAUGCGCGCGACUAUUCGUGCAACGGCGCCCCGGGUGAUUUUCGUAUCGUUAUCCCGCAAAAGCAUUGACUUUUUUCGGGAUUUUUUAUUUUGUUUUUUUUUCAUUUGUCCGAAAGCUCAAGAAACAAUAAUGGUUCUGAAACGAUACGAUAUUGUCGUAUUUUUUUUUUUUUCGUCACCCUCAUUUUCGCGGGUGAAACGACUGCGUGUACAAUAUCCACGUACGCAUGCAUAUUUUCAAACGGAAACUCAUUAUAUCUAAAACGCCUUACGCACAGACGGAGUGUUAGUUGAAAUAAAUUUCGGUGUUGACGUUUUUGAUUGCCGUCGAUCCGUCGGCAAGAUAUUCCACUCUUAAGUUCGGGUCGGGGAGUGAGUAGCGGUUCGUUAUAAAAACGCCGCGCGCCGUGACCCCGCACCGAAUUUGUGCGUUUUAAUGAUGCUCCACUUCUCUCCCCCGACCCAAACUUUAGAGUGGAAAAUCUCGUUGACGGAUUGAUGGAAAUCAACAAUUUCGACGCCGAAAUUUCUUUUAACUAAUACUCUAUUCUAUUUAUCGAAUCUUCAAUUUAGGUUGCCGUUUGAAAAUCGAAUGUAAGUAGUCGUUUCACCUCCGAAAAUUAGGAUGAAAAAAAUAAUGCAUGUGUAAAAUUGUAGAGCUAUUAUUGUUUUUUUAAAUUUUCUAUUAAACGUAUUCCGAAAAUAGUUAAUACCUAAAAUACCUAAAAUUAGUGUUAAAAGAUAAAAGAACCACCCGGUAUAUACGUCAUCGGGUAAGUCGGGAAAAAUCUCGUUCAAUACAUUUUUAGACUCUGUGAUAUUUUUACAUUAAGAGAUUUUUAAUAUACUUUUCUACCAGAAAUUUCGCUCCGAUUUUCAAUUGUUUUAAAUGGAAAUUCGAUCGGGGUAGUCGUUUUCUAAAUAAUUGGGAAAAACUUACGGCAAUAAUAUAACUUUUAUUUUAUUUUACAAUUUCUUUAUUUUCGAUUUGUUUUUCUGUUUGAAAUCGCUUAAAAAUAACUGUAGACACCUGCAAUUUUUACCGGAACACUUGUUUUUCAUCACUUUCCAGAGGUAAUAAAAUGUUCAAAAUAUUCAUCAAUACGUAAAAGAACCCCGUCAUUUUCAACCGAACAUUGUUCAGAAUUUUUUUCGUUAACGACGGCUAAUCGUUCGCGCACAGAUACGGAUCGAAUAAUUUUAUGCAGGUAUCCUACCUUCUCGACUUCCCGCCUUAAAAAUCGGAACAACCGACAGCGGCAAUAGUUCCAUAUUAUAGUCUUUUUUUCCGCCCUUCCUACACUACGGUUCCUCUGUCGCAGAAUCGCUUUUUUGAUUUUUUAAUUUCUAUAUUUGGUUGAAUUUCGGACUUUUUUUUUUUUACUAAAGUUUUCUCGUUAUACGUUAAAGUGUCGAAUAUACAGUCUUGUCCGGAUAACUCGAACAUCGAGAGAAAUACAAAUAAAUUCCUAUUUAAUAACCGAAUUAUACGCGUCUUCAAAUGCGACCUAUAAAAACACUUCGAGGGGCGAGAAAAAAAUUUGAGUUAUCGACACUCGGCCGUACGUAUCAUAUGCGAACGUUAUUUUUCCGAAAUCUCCACUCCCCCCCUCUCGUUCCUUUUCGUUCGCGACAUUCGAACCGAGAAACAAAUUAACGUUAACGAUUCUCGCGCGACGCGCGCUCGGCCGGGAAAUCGUUGAAAUCCGCGCGCUCAUUACGCUCGGGUAUCAUACCGCGGCGGGCCGAUUUUUCGCAACGCUCGUCCGGUUCGUAUAAACGCCGGGGUUUCGUUUUUUUCUUUCGUUUCUUCCAUCCGUCGCCUAUUAUCGCGCGGGCUUGUAAUAUGUAAUUUUAUUGUUUUUUUUCUCGCAGUACAAUCGUAUAUAUUUCAUACCGCAGCGCCCGCCGUAAAUAUUGUGUCGUGUACGUAUUCGCGGCGGACGCGUGCACGUCGAAAUUGUUUAUUGGCCUCGUAUUUGAACGGCGCAGCGCGUACACUGCACACCGAAACGGAACAAAACGGAACUUUUCAGCGCCCCAUUAAUAAACGCGUAUUACUGUGCGCGUGCAAUAAUUCCUGCUCUCCGAACGAUAUCGCGUAUAUUGUACAAUAAUAAUAAUAAUAAUAAUAAUAGCAAUAAUAAUAAUAAUAUUACCUAUGCGCGUUCGUUUUCUCUCGCCGUCCGGAUUUAUUGCGUUAUGCGCGCCGCGACCUUACGGCGGCUACGGCGGAAAAAUCGUACGCCGCCGCAGCCGCGCGUGGGAAUCGAAACAAUGAGAGCGAACGCCGUCGCCGGCGCGGGGCUCGGAUUACACGGCCGGCCGCGAGUCUUCUGCUGCGGCGGCGGCGCGCGGGCCGCACAGCGGGACGGGUACACCGUGUCGCGAGCGCGCGCUCGUAAUACGUCACAACAAUAUUUCAUGCGUUUCGUAAUGUUUUUAGUCGUCGUCCGCCCGCCUCUCUGGAAAUCGUCUGCGGCGCCGUGUCGCGCCGUUAAACACACGCACGCGCGCACGCGUCGCCGCGUAAAAUCCAAAAGCGAUAUUGUGUUCCCCCACCCCCGUUCGCCCGACCGUAGAGAAAAAAGAAAAAAAAAUGAAAAAAAAAAAUGCCCGUACACACUUCGCGCGGUUGGUGGGCCGCCGUUGUACAGGUGGGAACGCGGGAUAAUCUACGUACGUUUUACGGGGGGUGGGGGGAAUUCGAUUUGUAUCAGCUUGCGCGUUGCUUUUAUGCGCGUACACCGUCCCGGAUUUUCCCGAUCAUUAUGGAAACCGCUCGGAAAAUCGAAAAAUCACCUCGCCACAAAGUACCGGCCGGAUGGAAUUUCCUUUCGGAAAACGCGCCACGGAGCGAGAUUUCUGGUGGAAAAGCCGUAGAAAAAAAAAACCAAUAAUCGAAACAACGUCAUUGUGAAAUUAACACGUACGUUCCGAAUCUGAAAAAAAAUACGACUCGCUUCCCAACGGAUAUUAUCUGUAUUUAAAUACGUGAAAAAUACGUUAUUGUAAUAUUAUGUAUUAUUUCUAAUACAGGCGCAAUAGGUUUUUCGUUUAAGAAAUUCGCACCGGUCGUGUUUGUUCAAAUGCGAAUUAUACCGUCGCCGUUCGCAGCUGCCGUGCAUAAUAAGAGAACACGCGAAAAAAUCCAAUACCUAUAAUAAAUUUCAACUGUCACGACAUUGUAAUAUCGUUGAAUAUUACGUGCUUUAUUUUUACAAUAUACAUGAUAUACCUAUAAAUAUAUUGUUUAUAAUACGUGCCUAUUCCGACCUACUUUUGUGUUAGACUUUGGGCGGGAAGUUUGUAUAUAAUACGCGAGUCGUGAAACUUUUCUUAUGAUAACAAAAAAAAAAAAUAAUAAUAAUAAUAAUAAAAAUUCUAUAUCAACAGCAAAACAAACGCGCUAUAAUCGAUAAACGCUAUUGUUAUAAUAAUUAUUAUUUUUAAUUUUCGCCGGCAAAAACGUAUCAACGUGUCUCCGUCAGACUGCAUAACUGACAACGUAACAACGUUACAUAUAAAUUUCAAUUGAAAUUGUGGCGUUUAAGUUGAAAUUAUAUAGAGUUCAACAUACAGGAGGGGAGGGGAAAAAUUCAAUGAGCAAAAAAUGUAUUAUUUAACCUAACCGCGUUGCUAUAAUUUUUUCCAAAAUAUUGCCGAACAAAAUAAUUACGGCCGUGAUAUAAAUUUUGCUUUUAUAAAAUGAUUACGUAAAACUAUUGGUGAAAUAGGGAAUGCCUUCGAAAAUAUUCUCCUUUUUAAAUUUCGGUGUUCGAUUGCGAGCAAAGCGACGAAUGUAUAUCGGUUUUACUAUGAUGAUUUUUCGUUUUGUAUCACAUUUGUUCUACCGAUAUUCUUGCUUCUAUCAGAAUCUCUAUAUAACACUUUCCUGUAGAAUUGUUGAUCUAGUUGAUGUAUGGAAGAAUUCAAUUUUUUUUAAUUUUCCUAACAGUUUUCUUAAUAAAUGUGAAAUAAUGGCAAUUUUUGUUGAUUUAUUUCGUUAUCUUGGCAACGAAGAAACGAAUAUGACUUAUAAUACUUUCUGCUCAGAAUUGUUGUUCGUUAUCAAUGGUUUAUUGUUGCGGAAUAGUUUAAAUUUCUCUAUUCUACCUUCCAUAAACAGUGGCACAUCUAUCAGCAGUAUUGACUUUUUUGUGUUUACUUGAAUACUUCAAUCUAAACGCCACGAUUUUAAUUCUAAAACAGUAUACGUCAUUUCUUCUUAAUAGUUAAACGAAAAAAAAAUACAUAUAUACGUGAGAAAAAUGGCGAAAUCCUGAGUAUUAUAAAAUAAUUGAUAAAAACUCUUAUUCAUUUCAUUUAGUUCGUUAGUAUACGUAUCGUUUCAGUAAAAUAUAUAAUAUAGUAAAACCCUCGUUAUUCGCAGAGGUUCUAGUAAAGUUGCGUGGAUAACGGAAACUAUAUAGAACCGUAUAAAAAUUUAUUUAAAAAGCCGUUUUAAAGAGUUAAUCGAUUAUAAAAUUAUUGGAGGGAUUACUGCAUUGGUGUUUCACUUUUAAUCGGUCAGUAGAUUGCAGCUUCUUUUUUUUUUUUUUUGCUACGGUGUUCAAUGAUUCGGGAUGCCGCACAUCGUCGUACCAUACGUGAUUUAAAUGCAUAAAACCAUACGCAAAAUCAACUAGGGUACAAUAUUUUAAUAUUAUCAUCGACACGAAUUUUUUCGAGGUAUUCGCCGGGCCUAGCCGGGAUUUUCAUGAACUUUCGGAAGGCGUCCGGCGUGACAACACGUAAAAAAAAAAAAUAGCGUAACCGUUACAACCGAGUAUAAUAAUAGAAACUAUAGUUGGCCUUGUUAACGGGUGGCUACGUACAGCCCCUUCCCUGAAUUUCGCUAUUAAUUUUCUAGUAAAAUAAAAUGCAAUAUUUUCGUAUGCGUAUAAUAUUUCGGAUGACCGUGGAAAAGAUUAAAAUCUUGUGAAAAAUUGAAGAUUUACACAGAAAAAAGCAAAAAAUUCUCUAGUUUUCGUGUAGUAUAUGUUAAGUCGAUUUUUUGCCGAUAUUCGAUUUAUGAUAUCAUCUCGUGAUUUUUUUCCGUUUUUAUGCGUUUUAAGUUAUAUCGUAUAUUAAUACUUAAUAAUACUUAUAAUAAAAUGUUUCUUAAAUCUAGUGUUCAUAUUAAGUUUAGUCACUGAAAAAUUACUGAAGUCAAUGUGCAUAAUACUAUACAAAUUAUGUUAAACAAUACCCGAAAAGACACAGAAUCGUAUAGUACUUAAAUAAUUACAAAAUGUUAAACUUUGCUCUGCUGCAAAGUUCCACAACAUUUGCUCAACAUCUUUUUUACGGGCAAUAUAAGUAGUAUUAUGGUUUUCGCGAAUUAGACGAUAUUUUAAUAUGUCACCUCUCACGUUCCCCCAAGUCCGAAUUGAAACAUUUAAAAGUUAGGGGCUCCAAAUUUGUAAUAAAGCGCCUAAAAAUAAAAAUACAAAAACGAUUAAGAAAACUGCUAGGGAAACCAAAGGAUGACCGCCUAAAUAAACAAGCUGUAUUUUCUUUCAAACGAUAAUAUUUUUGGUUAACAAUUCGUUUAUACAAACGGAAAAAAUAAAAAAUAAUAUUAUUAAAAAUGAUUACCCAGUGUCCAGACCAGUAUUCUGUCAAUACGACAACGUUUUUUUAUUUUUUUUUUUUAACACUUUUAACGAAAACUUCGUGCGUAAAUUUUGUUUAAAUGAAUGAAGACGUUUUUAUAAGAGAACACACUGUAAUUACCGCCACGGGGCAACCGGAAACGUAAACACGGCGCGUAUUGAACGCGAUGAAACGCCGAAAACACAAAGUCGACGGUGUUUUCGACGCGCCGCGUACUUGGAACGCGCGCGAACUGAGGCCCGCGGAAUCCCGCGGACCGGCCCGCGUUUAAUUAGCGCCCCGGGAAUGCGCGGGAAACAAUGACGAUAACAUUGGGGUAACGGGGGCAAAACCGGGGCGCGCGCAGGGGCGGGCGAGGGGUCGCGGAGACGGCGGCGCGUGCAGCUGGACGGCGCGUUCUGCGUUACGCGCGCGCGGUCAUACGUAAUGCGCGCGCCGCGAUAUCAAACACGGUGCAACACAUUGUAAUGCCUUCGGACACCUGGUCCGGCGCAAAGGGGCACCGUAUUAUUGUUGUACGCGCGUAACGUCAUGGAAAUCGGUAGCCCUUACACGCGCGCCCGGCAUCGCAUAAUCCGCGGUGCCGCGAUGGGGGGGGCACGAGGGGAGCACGCGUCGUCGCGAUGGUCCGCGAGCCGAGAAGACAAAAGGCCGCGAAGGGAUUGCGACGACCGUGCGCGUCCCGCGAUGACCUUUUUUAUUUUUUUUUUUUCACUUUUUUCCUCGCCGCGUUAUAAUAAAUGUUUUAUUAUUAUUAUUAUUUUUUUUUUUUGUUCGAGUUCGACGACGGACAACAAAAGACCGCGGGUCAUCGUCGCGCGCGGCCGCCGACUUAUUCCACAUAAAUCGUAUCGCGCGCACAUCUGCGCGCGUCCGCGAAUUUAUUCAUAAAUGUCCGCGGGCCGGCUGCAGCCGUCGCGGCGGCGACCCCGGUUUCCCCCCGUCGCGACCCCGCCGAAAACCCUGUCCGGCCGUUUUCCCCUCACCCCCUCCCUCCUCCCCCCCCGUAUAUGUUCGCGAGUGCGUUUUUCACCCAUUGUGUUUGACCGAAAACGGGACGGUCCGUCCGGCUCGCGCCGCGUCCGAUAUAACUAACCGUAUUGUCGCCGUACCCCUGUUUUUGUAAAACGAAAAUUCCGCCGCCGAAACAAUAAAUCCGUAUUAUAUACGACCGCGGUGGUUUCAUUCCUUUUCAUGGGGGAUGAGGGGCACGCGCUCGGCCGUGAUAUUGUUUUAAAAAAAAAAAAAAAAAACCCGUUUAAUCAACGGGUUCGCGAUGUCCGCCGUUUGUUUAUUUCCCCUCCUUUCUCUCCGCCACCAACCCCCCCCCCUCCGGCACGCACACUCGGCGUAACGAAAUGUUUUGUUUCCCGUUUGUUUUUUUCAAAUGUCAUUUUAACAACGCGCGUUUCAGAUUUAUAAGAAACCGAUUACGCGCCCGUUGUGAGAUUAUCAUUAUUAUCAUUGACAAUCGAAACACGAUCGUCUGUUUUACUCAAUUAUGGUACUCGUGUAGAGUAUGAUACGCCGGUGGCACCAGCGGCGGAUACGUCCCAGCGCUGAGGGAGGGGGUGCGAUUUUCAAAUCCACAGAAGCUAUGGGGUUUAUCCCCUUAAUGUUCAAAUUCUUAAGUAUAAAAUUGUAGGUAAUAGUAUAUAUAUAGUAGUGAAAACAAUCCAAGGGAGGGGACGGUCCACCAAUCGCCCCCUCCCUCCCUCCCUCCCCGAUAUUCGCCACUGCGUGCGACGUUGUAAAAUCGUUACGGGUCACCUGUACACGUUUGUAUACAGAGUAAAACUACGCGCGUAACUUGAUAGUAACAAGUCACAUACAAAUCGAUUACAUUUUUUUAUUUACGUAUUAUUUGGGUAUUUAUGUGCAUAACUGUUUUCAGUUUUUGACAUUUAAAAUGUCAUAUUGUCGACCGGUGCAUUAGAUAAUAGCGCGAUAAUAACAAACAGAUAGUCGCAUGAAAUAAUAUAAAAACGAUAGUUGAUUUUCCGCGAUAACCCGACUACUAUGCGUAUUCGUUGUGUUUUUUAUAACAAUUCUACGUUCUUUGUAUUGUAUUUGUAUAAUUGCGGGCAUUCGGCAAUUUAUCGACGACUUCGGAUAGUAUGCGGUGCACUGAGAUCGUUACAAACACGUACAAAUCAAAAAUACUCAAUCGCGUUUCGAAACAGAAAUAAUUUUGAGAAUUGCGCGGCGGAAUGGGAUUCAAUUGGCGGCGAAACGAGAACCGACCGGUACGAUUAUGGCCGUCGUUUGAUAAAUGAUCGAUAUGAUUUUUUUUUUUUUUCCAAACCGUCGUAGGUUCGAAAGCCCUAUAAACGUCCUAAACGUUGAACUUGAUACAUUUUACACCCUAGCUGGGCGUGUUUUUUAAAUUUAUUUAAUUCGCUUUUGAGUGUACUGCCAUAACGCCGCUCCUACGUUUUUAUUUUUCCGUUACGCGUUUGAUUAAAACAAUAAAUAUACGUUUCGUAAAUCGAAAUUUAUCAUUGUUUCAACGACCGUAUUGUCGGACACUCGUCUCCUUACGGAAAUUAUUAUAUUAAAACAAUAAUAUUAUAAUGAUAUACUAUACAGAAUAAAUUAUCAUAAUAAUAUGAUAAAAAUCUCGAAUAUUUUUCUAGUCUGUUUCACUCGAAACAAAUAAACUGCAAAUGAAAUGGAUCGGCGGUUUAUUAAUACUGUAGUGCGUGCAAUUGACUAUUAUCACUGUUAGACUGCUUAUAAUGUAUAGUUCAUAUAAGUGUCAACACUCAAAACGCAACGAUAAUCAAAAAAUAAAUAUUGUUUACCGAGUCGUCGAGUAGUUUUCUCUUUUUAAUUCUCUCGAAAAUAUAAUGAUAAAAGAAAAAAAUCUACAUACAUUUCAUAACAACAUGUUCUACGCGGUUUCUAGUUAAUAAUAGAAAAAACGAACUACACACUGUAGUGCGCUUUGAAACGUGAAUAGCGCUCGAACUCCAAGAAAAUUGACUAGUACUCGAAGAGUAUAAUAUAAAAUCGUUAACCGUUUGACAUAUAUAAAAAAAUCAGACAUUAAAAUCGUACAGCGGCCGUACGAAAUCUAUUGGAAUAUAAUAUUCGGAUCAGACACUACAGCAGACUUAAAAAAAAAAACUGGAAUCGAUAGUUAAAUUUAAAUAUAGCAACAAUCACGGAACUCUUGCUUUUUUCGAAUGUAUCGAAGUUUAUCGCGAUAUUGUUCUACUACCGUAUAUUAGUAGGGGAAACCCAUCAGAAAAAAAAACGCGCUUUUUAAAGCGUUUCAAAAACCGUCUAGCACUAUUUAUUUAAAAAAACCAAACAUAUUUUACGCGAAUGUACCGAACGCAAAGCCGGGCAUUUUUGUCGAUUUGUUUCGUUAUGAAAUUUAAAUUGACCUAAAAGAAAUCAAGUUAACAUUUUAUAACUUUGAAUUUGAUUCUAAUAAACUACAAGUUAAGUCAGAAAUUUUCAGAAUAGUAAAAUAACUAAGCUAAUAAUUUGAAUGUUACUUUUCGUCGGAAUACGAAUAUUAUUACGAAAAACAUUUUUCAAUACGAACAAUUCUGUUUGGAAAUAACUUAAGUUUUAACAAAACGACCGAGUUCAGUUGAAAUUAUUUUAUUAAACGAAUUAUAUAGGUUAAUUCUAUAAGUUUUUGAAAAAAGAAAAACCAAGUAAUAACGUGUAUAAUUCAACUUUAAACUUUUCAACAGUACACUGCAUAUUUGGUUAAAACGAUCUUAAAAAAAAACAAACGGGCGGGCGGGGGGGGGGUUAUUAUUUGUAUUAUCGUUAUAAGUUAAACCGUUGCAAUAACAUUGUACAUGUGUUAUCAUAUGUAGUACGGGCGAUUAUCUAUUCCAUAAACAUUUCAUGUUCGUUUUUUUUCACAAUAAUAAAUAAAUAAAAAUACACACGAUAUUAUAAUAUAUACACGCACAGAUAAUAAUUAUAAUCUCUUUAGAAAAAAAAAAAAAAAAAAAAAACAAAAACAAAAACAAAACCCAUACACCUAUAUUAUAACGUAAUACGCUUUAACCCAUUGUACGGAUUUAACCUUAAAAGUGACGCAACGAUUUGUUUUUUCAAUAUUUUUAUUGUUAUUGUUUUUUAUUUCGAAAAAAAUACCGAACACCCAUACGUUACAGUACGGUUAUUAUCGUGUGAAAAUAAUAAAAAAAAAAAAAACAAAACGAAAAUCGAAAAGUUAAAAAAAUCGUUAUUCGUAAUAUUUACCAGGAUUUCGCGUGGCAGGUUUACGACGACAUAUUUUCGGCGAUUUUUUUCAAAUAUUCUUUCGCGAAUUUCGAAUGAUUCGUAAAGAACACGCGCAUCCGUUUCGUCACUUACGGGCACUGUCGUCGGGUUUUUAAUCAUUUUCCGUUGUAUUUCGAAUGUUUUUUUUUUUUUUCUUUCAUCGUUUCCGCCGAAACGCCGGCGCCCGGGACAUUAUUGACGUCGCGCAAUUGCGGCGAACGUUCGCGAGCCCGAAAAAAAAAAACCUUUGAAUCUAUCCGCACGUCCGGAUCGCUGGAAAACUACCGAAACACGCCCGAGAACCGUCGAAAUCCGCGACUUUUCGAUUUUUUUUACGACAGACGGACAAACUGGUAGAACACGCGAUUCCGUACGGUCCUCGUCGGCGUACGGAAUCGCGCACGUUUUUAAGGCACCGCACGCGUUGUUCUUUUAGAUUUUAGCGCGACGUUGCCAGAUUUUCAUAACGGGACUUGUUCAAAAUCGCAUUCGGGCCUAUUUCGCGUAUUCGGAAAGUGAACACGCGCACUUGACAAUCGAUUUCCGUGCGGUUUAUUAUUAUUAUUAUUAUUUAUUUUUUUUUUUUUCAAAAUUUUUGUUACAUAAAUAAUAUUGGACGGCACAAAGACAAAUAAUAAACACUACGUGCCGUGAACAAUAAGGUAUUGCUAAAACGUGUUUAGAUGGCACAAUCGACGAAUAAUUGCUGCACCGAAAUGUAAUAAAAUAUUUGUCAGGUGUUUGUAGUAAAAAACGCGUGUACGAUUUAUACUAUUUAAUUGACAGUUCGUUCACUUUUUCAAUAGUAAACGGCAACACUGGCCGGAAUCGUGUGGUUUUUUUCGGGUCACAUCGGCAAUCCAUUGUUUGAUCAAAAACGUACGGAACGGUGUUUUACCGACGUCAAAUAACCGCCCCGGUAUUGUACGAGCGCGUUCGACGAAUAUUUUUAAACGUUUUUUUUUUUUUUUUUUUUUUUUUUUUUUUCACGCAGACAAUAUUAAUUAUAAAGUAUUUUCGAGAUAAACCCGGUAAAAUAAUCGAGAAAAAAGACUUUGGUCCAUGCAAGUAUGUACAAUACUUUAACAUAAUGCAGGUCGGAUAUUAUAAUAACAGCAGCCAUAGUAUAAUAAUAAUAAUGCACGUUGAUGCAAUCAAUAACAUUUUAUCAGAAACGCAUCGAGAUAUUAUAACGUUACAGAUACACUGCAGUAGAGAUACGGUGCAUCGCGUAUAUUUUUUUUUUUUUUUUUUCUNNNNNNNNNNNNNNNNNNNNNNNNNNNNNNNNNNNNNNNNNNNNNNNNNNNNNNNNNNNNNNNNNNNNNNNNNNNNNNNNNNNNNNNNNNNNNNNNNNNNNNNNNNNNNNNNNNNNNNNNNNNNNNNNNNNNNNNNNNNNNNNNNNNNNNNNNNNNNNNNNGCGUAUAUUUUUUUUUUUUUUUUUUUCUAAGACCAGGAAAUAUUUCUUUAUAGAUAACGAACGGCAGUAUAUUUAUGUUAUUAUUAGUAACGCUAUCGUUUUUUUAGGUCAAUAAUGAUAGAAAAAUACGAACGAAACGGUUAAAUAAACGUUAUUGUUUGUGACGACGGGCGGCCUAUUGGUUUCGGUACGGCAUUCGAAGAUUUCUCGCGAGUACACCCUGCGCGCUAAUACACUAAUUUUUACGCGCGAUCAACACUAUUAUGCGUUCGGCGAAAAAAAAAUUGUCGUCACCGGUCUCGUCGGAACACGGAAAAAGCGUUACCGCGACCUAUCGGUUCCUCGCGAGAGAUGCCCAAUCCUAUAUUCGCGUAUACGACGGUAAUGUUAAUGCCGGUUACCGAAUCGCCGUUUUUAUGCGGAAUUGAAUUUCUCGGUUUUUUUUCCGUUCGCGAAGUGUACGCGGGCAGAGGGAUGAGUGGGGGGAGGGGGGCGAGUGAGGAACGGGCAGGUCAACGAAUUCGCGAGUCGGUCGGCCGCGGCUUUUCGCCGUCCGCGGCGUACUUAUUGUAAAUAAUAUUCGUUCCAAAACGACAGUCACAGCGAUAUCUUACGGGCUAAACGCGAAACUAUUCAACCCUUUCUGUGCGGAAGGGUUAAUUCGGGGACGGGUGUCCGUCGGGCCGCGCCACCGGCACGGCCGAACGCACAGAAAGACCGCGGGAACGUUCCGGCGUCCCGUGCGCGGCGAAAGUUCGCGCGAAUUUCCCGGCGCGUUUUCGGUGGUUGUUUCGAAAAACCGUAAGCGGACCGCGAUUUUCGCGAAUUCGCUCGGUUUUCGAACGGCGAAUCGUCGCGGAAAAAUACGACAAUUUUCGUUUUCAUUUUUUUCGCUCGGCCCAAUCGGACUCUGAAUGUUUUUCGGCCGCGUUUUAUACGCACGUGUGUUGUAUAAAUAAUAAUAAUAAAAAAAAAAAAAAAAAAAAAAAAACGUUUUUCUCGGACGCGUCGGUCGAGUUUUGUUCGUUUUUCCGUAACGGCCGUAUAUUAUUGCGCGACGAUAACGUCGUAUCGUGCGGCGCUGUCGGUCGCGAAGACGGUGUGAAAGGAAACGAAAAAACGGUCGGGCGGGCGGUGCGGGCGGGCGCGAAAAAAGGCGAAAAUAAGAAUGCGCGGUGGGAAAACACCCUCGCGUCUUCGGCGGCGGCACGGCGGUGGCGGGACGGCGGCGCGGCGGCGGAGGGCGACGCGUGGGGGCGGAGAGCGAGUGAGUGAAGAGAGAGAGCGCUAGGGGCGGACGCCGGCGCAGAAAUAAGCACGUAAGGAAAACGUCUGGCGCGACGCGGCGCGGCGGUGUGCCGCGGCGCUCGGUCGGUUCCUAAGAGGGAAAACCCGACCCCUAUCGCGCGCGGCCGUAGAAAAGGACGGAGCGCGGCGUCCGGCACACGCUCCCGACAAGGACGGCGACAUGUCCGCGACUCCAAGACAUCUUGGCCGCGUAUCUCCUCAGUCGCGCCGCGACGCCGACACAAGACGCCACCGCCGCCGCUCUUACCGCCGCCGCCGCCGCCGCGAGUGCUGUACACGCGCACACACGCGCACACACAAACACGCUCACAGCGCCCGGCGCGCGUACAGCCGAUACGUUUUUCCGGCCCGGCGUCUUGAGACGUCGCUCAGUCUCAAGACUACUCCGGCAUCGCGAACACCUUAGGUGCCCGCGACUUUGGGUGUGCACGCGCGUAUACGAUUUAUACACGUACGUACUCGCGGAAAUUUUUAAUAUUCGCCCGGUCCGCCGAUCGUUUUUUCGCGUCGCUCAUUGCCGCCGCACGACUCCCGAGAGUUUAUUGUUGUUGUUAUUCAAUUUUUUUUUUUUUUGUUUUUUUUUUUCCAACGGAAUUUUUUUUCCUUUCCGGAAAUCGAAAGAAAUUAAAUUUUUUCUCCGUGAUUUUUCAUUCCGUGUUGUUGUUUUUUUUUUUUGUUCGCAGAUAAAUUAUACUCUGUUCACUUACCGCGCGGCACGUAAUCGCGUAACGCUGUACCGAAUUUAUUACGGAAAAGCCGGAAAAGCCUUGCGCGCGACGACAAUAUGUGCGGCUGCUACUGUACCGUCGCCACCCAUCGUUCCGUCUGACGGUCUCCGCCGCAAAAACGACCGUCGUCCGGCCAACACCGGACACUAGAGAAGAGCACUUUGUUUCGCAAUAGCCAAGACGAUCUCUUCGGUCCCGCUGGAUCUUCGCGCCUCGCCCGGCCACGAACACCUGCAGGGCGACGACGACG
rnacentral:lncRNA from 1 species